GGGGACUGCGGGUGCUAUACUGCAAGUCGAACGAGUUCUCGUUGAUGAUCGGUGCUUGCACCGAGAUUCAACAUGGAACGAGUGGCGGACGGGUGAGUAACACGUGGGUAACCUGCCCUUAAGUGGGGGAUAACAUUUGGAAACAGAUGCUAAUACCGCAUAGAUCCAAGAACCGCAUGGUUCUUGGCUGAAAGAUGGCGUAAGCUAUCGCUUUUGGAUGGACCCGCGGCGUAUUAGCUAGUUGGUGAGGUAAUGGCUCACCAAGGCGAUGAUACGUAGCCGAACUGAGAGGUUGAUCGGCCACAUUGGGACUGAGACACGGCCCAAACUCCUACGGGAGGCAGCAGUAGGGAAUCUUCCACAAUGGACGCAAGUCUGAUGGAGCAACGCCGCGUGAGUGAAGAAGGCUUUCGGGUCGUAAAACUCUGUUGUUGGAGAAAAAAGGACGUAAGAGGAACUGAUGUCGGCGUGACGGUAUCCUAACCAGAAAGCCACGGCUAAACUACGUGCCAGCAGCCGCGGUAAUACGUAGGUGGCAAGCAUUAUCCGGAUUUAUUGGGCGUAAAGCGAGCGCAGGCGGUUUUUUAAGUCUGAUGUGAAAGCCCUCGGCUUAACCGAGGAAGCGCAUCGGAAACUGGGAAACUUGAGUGCAGAAGAGGACAGUGGAACUCCAUGUGUAGCGGUGAAAUGCGUAGAUAUAUGGAAGAACACCAGUGGCGAAGGCGGCUGUCUGGUCUGUAACUGACGCUGAGGCUCGAAAGCAUGGGUAGCGAACAGGAUUAGAUACCCUGGUAGUCCAUGCCGUAAACGAUGAAUGCUAGGUGUUGGAGGGUUUCCGCCCUUCAGUGCCGCAGCUAACGCAUUAAGCAUUCCGCCUGGGGAGUACGACCGCAAGGUUGAAACUCAAAGGAAUUGACGGGGGCCCGCACAAGCGGUGGAGCAUGUGGUUUAAUUCGAAGCAACGCGAAGAACCUUACCAGGUCUUGACAUCUUUUGAUCACCUGAGAGAUCAGGUUUCCCCUUCGGGGGCAAAAUGACAGGUGGUGCAUGGUUGUCGUCAGCUCGUGUCGUGAGAUGUUGGGUUAAGUCCCGCAACGAGCGCAACCCUUAUGACUAGUUGCCAGCAUUUAGUUGGGCACUCUAGUAAGGCAGCCGGAGACAAACCGGAGGAAGGUGGGGAUGACGUCAAAUCAUCAUGCCCCUUAUGACAUGGGCUACACACGUGCUACAAUGGAUGGUACAACGAGUUGCGAGACCGCGAGGUCAAGCUAAUCUCUUAAAGCCAUUCUCAGUUCGGACUGUAGGCUGCAACUAGCAUACACGAAGUCGGAAUCGCUAGUAAUCGCGGAUCAGCACGCCGCGGUGAAUACGUUCCCGGGCCUUGUACACACCGCCCGUCACACCAUGAGAGUUUGUAACACCCGAAGCCGGUGGCGUAACCCUUUUAGGGAGCGAGCCGUCUAAGGGUGGACAAAAUAGGCUACCUACCU
rnacentral:rRNA from 1 species